AGGGCUGUGGCUCAGUGGUAGAGUGGCCUAGCAUGUGUUUGGCACUGGGUUCGAUUCCCAGCCCUA
rnacentral:tRNA from 1 species